rnacentral:rRNA from 1 species
ACGCUCGACACCUACGGAAGGCAGCAGUGGGGAAUAUUGCACAAUGGGGGAAACCCUGAUGCAGCAACGCCGCGUGAAGGAAGACGGUUUUCGGAUUGUAAACUUCUGUUCUUAGUGAAGAUAGUGACGGUAGCUAAGGAGCAAGCCACGGCUAACUACGUGCAGCAGCCGCGGUAAUCUGAGCGGGCUGGCAAGGC